GUGCGGUUCUAUUUUGUUGGUUUUUGGAAUCGCCGUAAUGAUUAAUAGGGACAGUCGGGGGCAUUAGUACUCACAUGCUAGAGGUGAAAUUCUUGGAUUUUGUGAAGACUAACUUCUGCGAAAGCAUUUGCCAAGGAUGUUUUCAUUAAUCAAGAACGAAGGUUAGGGUAUCGAAAACGAUUAGAUACCGUUGUAGUCUUAACAGUAAACUAUGCCGACUAGGGAUCGGUCGAUGUUAUCUUUUUGA
rnacentral:rRNA from 1 species